rnacentral:tRNA from 1 species
GGGCUGGUAGCUCAGCGGUAGAGCAGUUGACUCUUAAUCAAUUGGUCCUGGGUUCAAAUCCCAGUCAGCCCA